rnacentral:rRNA from 1 species
CCUACGGGGGGCAGCAGUGAGGAAUAUUGGUCAAUGGACGCAAGUCUGAACCAGCCAUGCCGCGUGCAGGAAGACGGCUCUAUGAGUUGUAAACUGCUUUUGUACGAGGGUAAACGCAGAUACGCGUAUCUGUCUGAAAGUAUCGUACGAAUAAGGACCGGCUAACUCCGUGCCAGCAGCCGCGGUAAUACGGAGGAUUCAAGCGUUAUCCGGAUUUAUUGGGUUUAAAGGGUGCGUAGGCGGUCGGAUAAGUUAGAGGUGAAAUCCCGAGGCUCAACUGCGGAAUUGCCUCUGAUACUGUGCGGCUAGAGAGUAGUUGCGGUAGGCGGAAUGUAUGGUGUAGCGGUGAAAUGCUUAGAGAUCAUACAGAACACCGAUUGCGAAGGCAGCUUACCAAGCUACUACUGACGUUGAGGCACGAAAGCGUGGGGAGCAAACAGGAUUAGAUACCCGAGUAGUC